rnacentral:tRNA from 6 species
CCCGCCCUAGCUCAGUGGUAGAGCGCCCGGCUGUAGACCGGGUGGUCGCUGGUUCAAAUCCGGCGGGCGGGACCA